UACGAGGGGGGCGAGCGUUGUUCGGAAUUAUUGGGCGUAAAGGGUGCGUAGGCGGUUUGGUAAGUCUGAUGUGAAAUCUAUGGGCUCAACUCAUAGUCUGCAUCGGAAACUGCCGGGCUUGAGUGUGGGAGAGGUGAGUGGAAUUCCUGGUGUAGCGGUGAAAUGCGUAGAUAUCAGAAGGAACACCUGUGGCGAAAGCGGCUCACUGGACCAUAACUGACGCUGAUGCACGAAAGCUAGGGGAGCAAACAGG
rnacentral:rRNA from 1 species